ACUCCUACGGGAGGCAGCAGUGGGGAAUAUUGCACAAUGGGGGAAACCCUGAUGCAGCGACGCCGCGUGAGCGAAGAAGUAUUUCGGUAUGUAAAGCUCUGUGGGGGAGAAGAAGAAAGUCGGUGAAGAGCCGGCCCUGACGGUAUCCCCUUAGCAAGCACCGGCUAACUCCGUGCCAGCAGCCGCGGUAAU
rnacentral:rRNA from 1 species